AUUGAACGCUGGCGGCAUGCCUAACACAUGCAAGUCGAGCGAGCGGCGGACGGGUGAGUCAUGUAUGGGAAACUGCCUGAUGGAGGGGGAUAACUACUGAAAACGGUAGCUAUUACCGCAUACGCUCGGAUGUGCCCAGAUGGGCUGAGCGAGUAGGGGGGGUAACGGCUCACCUAGGCGACGAGCCCUAGCUGGUCUGCGAGUAGGACCAACGACACGGGAACGGAGACACGGCCCAGACUCCUACGUGAGGCAGCAGUGGGGAAUAGUGCACAAGGGGCGCAAGCCUGAUGCAGCCAUGCCGCGUGUAUGAAGAAGGCCGUCGGGUUGUAAAGUACGUUCAGCGGGGAGGCGUUACCUGCAGAAGAAGCACCGGCUAACUCCGUGCCAGCAGCCGCGGUAAUAC
rnacentral:rRNA from 1 species